UACGACGUAUCAGAGUUUGAUCCUGGCUCAGGACGAACGCUGGCGGCGUGCCUAACACAUGCAAGUCGAACGGAGUGGGACCCUUCGGGGUUUCACUUAGUGGCGAACGGGUGAGUAACGCGUGAGAAACCCGCCUCUCAGUGGGGGACAACAGUUGGAAACGACUGCUAAUACCGCAUAAUAUUACCGGAGGGCAUCCUCUGGUAAUCAAAGCUUUAUGUGCUGAGAGAUGGUCUCGCGUCUGAUUAGCUAGAUGGCGGGGUAACGGCCCACCAUGGCGACGAUCAGUAGCCGGUCUGAGAGGAUGAACGGCCACAUUGGGACUGAGAUACGGCCCAG
rnacentral:rRNA from 1 species